GAUGAACGCUAGCCACAGGCUUAACACAUGCAAGUCGAGGGGCAGCACAGUGUAGCAAUACAUGGGUGGCGACCGGCGCACGGGUGCGUAACGCGUAUCCAACCUUCCCGAUACUCAGGGAUAGCCUUCCGAAAGGGAGAUUAAUACCUGAUGGUGUUUCAAUUCCGCAUGUUAAUGAAACUAAAGAUUUAUCGGUAUCGGAUGGGGAUGCGUGACAUUAGAUAGUAGGCGGGGUAACGGCCCACCUAGUCUACGAUGUCUAGGGGUUCUGAGAGGAAGGUCCCCCACACUGGAACUGAGACACGGUCCAG
rnacentral:rRNA from 1 species